UACGAAGGGGGCUAGCGUUGCUCGGAAUUACUGGGCGUAAAGCGCACGUAGGCGGCUCUUUAAGUCGGGGGUGAAAUCCUGGAGCUCAACUCCAGAACUGCCUUCGAUACUGUAGAGCUUGAGUUCGGGAGAGGUGAGUGGAACUGCGAGUGUAGAGGUGAAAUUCGUAGAUAUUCGCAAGAACACCAGUGGCGAAGGCGGCUUACUGGUCCGGUACUGACGCUGAGGUGCGAAAGCGUGGGGAGCAAACAGG
rnacentral:rRNA from 1 species